UGAAUACCCCCGCAUUCCCACACUGCAGCUACAGACACACACACACAUACAAGCAGCUGAUGGCUGUGCGGCGCUUGGCGCUUAGCGCUCAGUGGUGGCUGGUUAUUGGAGCAAACCGGACGUUCGCUUGGCCGUUCAGUCGUUCUCGCCGGCUCACCCGUUGCAAUGUUGAAUAUUUAGCCUUGUUCGAGAGUUUGCGCAGCAUGCAACAUGUCUGCCAUGUGGCUAAUUUAUGUCAUUCAAAAUGUUGGCUGCAUGCAGAGGACCAACCGACUGCCCGCCACUGAUGUGUGGCAUUUGUGCGAAUGGCGGGAAUUUUUGGUUUCUUGUUUGUUUUUGGUGGUUUUUGAAAAACGAAGAUUUUUAUUUACAUACAGACAUCAGUGUGGAGGAGGGUGUAAGGAGUUAAGAUCAAAACGAAAGCGAACUAAAAAAGGCCACUGACGCCGAUGCUGCAAUGCCCGCCGAUUGAGAACCCCGCUGCGACCUUCCUGGAAGAAUACAGUGUACA